rnacentral:lncRNA from 1 species
AAAAUAAUUAAUAUUAAAAUGUAAAACUAUAUUUUAUGCCACGUGUCAUCUUUCGGGAUAAAUUUUUUCCGCUGAUGUGGACGCUUCCAUUUUUAAUGCUGUAUGUUUACAUAUUUUUUACAAUUUUCGAAAAUAAUUAAUAUUAAAAUGUAAAACUAUAUUUUAUGCCACGUGUCAUCUUUCGGGAUAAUUUUUUUCCGCUGAUGUGGACGCCCUAUAGAGACUCAAAAGCUCCCUUUUAUUAGUAAUGUUAUAUUAUGGAGAUAAUCCGUCUUUUUUUUUAAGUGAAAAAUAGUAAUCUUACAUAUGUUUAAUGUAGUUUUUCCAUUUUUUAAUGCUGUAUGUUUACAUAUUUUUUACAAUUUUUGAAAAUAAUUAAUAUUAAAAUGUAAAACUAUAUUUUAUGCCACGUGUCAUCUUUCGGGAUAAAUUUUUUCCGCUGAUGUGGACGCUUCCAUUUUUUAAUGCUGUAUGUUUACAUAUUUUUUACAAUUUUCGAAAAUAAUUAAUAUUAAAAUGUAAAACUAUAUUUUAUGCCACGUGUCAUCUUUCGGGAUAAUUUUUUUCCGCUGAUGUGGACGCCCUAUGGAGCCUCAAAAGCUCCCUUUUAUUAGUAGUUUUUACAAUUUUCGAAAAUAAUUAAUAUUAAAAUGUAAAACUAUAUUUUAUGCCACGUAUCAUCUUUCGGGAUAAAUUUUUUCCGCUGAUGUGGACGCCCUAUGGAGCCUCAAAAGCUCCCUUUUAUUAGUAGAGAAGUCAAACAUAUUUAUGUUUAAUGUAGUAUUUCCAUUUUUAUGUUGUAUGUUUUACUUAUAAUUAUUAUUUUCGAAAUUAUAUAUAAUGUUUUUUGUUUUUUUUUUAUAAAACGGUAAUGUUACAUUAUGGAGAUAAGCCGUCUUUUUUUUUUAAGUGAAAAAUAGUAAUCUUACAUAUGUUUAAUGUAGUUUUUCCAUUUUUAAUGCUGUAUGUUUACAUAUUUUUUACAAUUUUUGAAAAUAAUUAAUAUUAAAAUGUAAAACUAUAUUUUAUGCCACGUGUCAUCUUUCGGGAUAAAUUUUUUCCGCUGAUGUGGACGCUUCCAUUUUUAAUGCUGUAUGUUUACAUAUUUUUUACAAUUUUCGAAAAUAAUUAAUAUUAAAAUGUAAAACUAUAUUUUAUGCCACGUGUCAUCUUUCGGGAUAAUUUUUUUCCGCUGAUGUGGACGCCCUAUAGAGCCUCAAGCGCCUCAAAAGCUCCCUUUUAUUAGUAGAGAAGUCAAACAUAUUUAUGUUUAAUGUAGUAUUUCCAUUUUUAUGUUGUAUGUUUUACUUAUAAUUAUUAUUUUCGAAAUUAUAUAUAAUGUUUUUUGUUUUUUUUUUAUAAAACGGUAAUGUUACAUUAUGGAGAUAAGCCGUCUUUUUUUUUAAGUGAAAAAUAGUAAUCUUACAUAUGUUUAAUGUAGUUUUUCCAUUUUUAAUGCUGUAUGUUUACAUAUUUUUUACAAUUUUUGAAAAUAAUUAAUAUUAAAAUGUAAAACUAUAUUUUAUGCCACGUGUCAUCUUUCGGGAUAAAUUUUUUCCGCUGAUGUGGACGCUUCCAUUUUUAAUGCUGUAUGUUUACAUAUUUUUUACAAUUUUCGAAAAUAAUUAAUAUUAAAAUGUAAAACUAUAUUUUAUGCCACGUGUCAUCUUUCGGGAUAAUUUUUUUCCGCUGAUGUGGACGCUUCCAUUUUUUAAAUAACUAAAAAAUAGAAAAACUACAUUAAACAUAUGUAAGAUUACUAUUUUUCAUUUAAAAAAAAGACGGCUUAUCUCCAUAAUGUAACAUUACCGUUUUAUAAAAAAAAUCAAAAAACA